GUUGAGCGCGAAAGUUCCCUUCGGGGAGCGAGUAGAGCGGCGGAAGGGUGCGUAAUACAUGGGUAACGUACCUCCAACUCAGGGAUAGCUCACCGAAAGGCGGGAUAAUACCUGAUGUUGCCACAGUAUCAAAAGAAACAGUGGUGAAAGACAGGGACCUUCGGGCCUGUCGGUUGGAGAGCGGCCCAUGUCCUAUCAGUUUGUUGGUGAGGUAAUGGCUCACCAAGGCUACGACGGGUACCGGGACUGAGAGGUUGACCCGGCACAUUGGGACUGAGACACUGCCCAGACUCCUACGGGAGGCUGCAGCAUCGAAUAUUCCGCAAUGGGCGAAAGCCUGACGGAGCAAUGCCGCGUGUGGGAAGAAGCGCUUCGGCGUGUAAACCACUGUCAGGGAUCACCAAGCAAUGGGGUUUAAUAGACCCCGGCGUUGAGGAGUCCCACAGGAAGCCACGGCUAACUUCGUGCCAGCAGCCGCGGUAAUACGAAGGUGGCAAGCGUUGUUCGGAAUCACUGGGCUUAAAGGGCGCGUAGGCGGUCCUACAAGCGUCGUGUGAAAUCCCUCGGCUCAACCGAGGAAUGGCACGGCGAACUGUAGGACUUGAGGCAAGUAGAGGUGCGUGGAACUCUUGGUGGAGCGGUGAAAUGCGUAGAUAUCAAGAGGAACGCCAGCGGCGAAAGCGGCGCACUGGGCUUGUUCUGACGCUGAGGCGCGAAAGCUAGGGGAGCGAACGGGAUUAGAUACCCUGGUAGUCCACGCCGUAAACGAUGUGAACUAGGGAUAGGGGGUGUUGAUCCCUCCUGUCCCGCAGCUAACGCACUAAGUUCACCGCCUGGGGAGUACGGUCGCAAGAUUAAAACUCAAAGGAAUUGACGGGGGCCCGCACAAGCGGUGGAGUAUGUGGUUUAAUUCGACCCAACGCGAAGAACCUUACCUGGACUUGACAUCCCAAGAAUCUCUUGGAAACAAGAGAGUGCGUCAUUAGAUGAACUUGGUGACAGGUGCUGCAUGGCUGUCGUCAGCUCGUGUCGUGAGAUGUUGGGUUAAGUCCCGCAACGAGCGCAACCCCUGCCUUUAGUUGCCAGCAGUUCGGCUGGGCACUCUAGAGGGACUGCCGGUGUCAAACCGGAGGAAGGUGGGGAUGACGUCAAGUCCUCAUGGCCUUUAUGUCCAGGGCUACACACGUACUACAAUGGUCGGUACAAAGGGCAGCGACUUAGCGAUAAGAAGCUAAUCCCAUAAAACCGGUCUCAGUCCGGAUUGGAGUCUGCAACUCGACUCCAUGAAGUUGGAAUCGCUAGUAAUCGUAGAUCAGCAUGCUACGGUGAAUACGUUCCCGGGCCUUGUACACACCGCCCGUCACACCACGGAAGUCGGUUGUUCCAGAAGUAGUUGAGCCAACCCGCAAGGGAGGCAGGCUACCAAGGAAUGGCUGGUAACUGGGGUGAAGUCGUAACAAGGUA
rnacentral:rRNA from 1 species